ACAAGACUUCAGGGCGGGGCGGAAUUCCCCACCGGUGGUAAAAAUCAGCUCAAAUGAGCGUGAUUUUGAGCCCACGAGCGCUUUCGAUUACUCGAAAGGUCAGCAGAUCUGGUGAGAACCCAGAGCCGACGGUUAUAGUCCGGAUGAAAGAAGUAAAUU
rfam:Vibrio sp. JCM 19231 DNA, contig00016.